CAGUGAAUUUGCCUCCUUUCUCUCACUUGAAGCAGAAGUAGCAUGCAACCCAGUCACUUCCAUACAUGCACUUCGCUCUACGGAAACGAAUGAUGACAAAAGAAACACAAGAGAAGUCAAAAGAAACAAGGCAAGUGUAUUCAACAUUAACACAACUGAACGAGAUGCAAAGACUAAAAUACACAACAGUUCUUCAUGCACACUGUGCCAAGAGUUGCAUCCACUUAUAAAAUGCCCAAACUUCCUGCAAAUGACCCUGGAAAUGAAAAGGAAACAUGUAAAGGAUAAUAAACAUUGUUAUGGUUGUUUAAAGCAAGGUCAUAGUGCUAAGGACUGCAAACGGCGCCUCACUUGUGAAACAUGCACCAAGAGACACCCGACCUGUCUUCACGAUGAGAACUACAGCACUAGUCUGCAAAGAGAAAGGCAAGAUCAAGUACGUUUUCCACUCACUGCUUACUGGGAUCCAACAGAUCCAAGUGGUAAAGUGGUAAAGGUCAGUGUUUACCUGACUCGUGGUCCCGUAUGCAGUAGUCUGAUGGUCACCUGUGCGGCGGAAGUCAGCCAUGGCCAACCAGCAGGUCCUGACGCUACAUGACCCACUGACACCA